UACAGAGGUGGCAAGCGUUGUUCGGAAUUACUGGGCGUAAAGGGCGCGUAGGCGGUUCGAUAAGUCAGCUGUGAAAACCAUGGGCUUAACUCAUGGCCUGCAGUUGAGACUGUCGGGCUGGAGUGUGGGAGAGGAGAGUGGAAUUCCUGGUGUAGCGGUGAAAUGCGUAGAUAUCAGGAGGAACACCGGUGGCGAAGGCGGCUCUCUGGACCACAACUGACGCUGGAGGCGACGAAAGCUAGGGAGCAAACAGG
rnacentral:rRNA from 1 species